rnacentral:rRNA from 1 species
UACGGAGGGUGCAAGCGUUGUCCGGAUUUAUUGGGUUUAAAGGGUGCGUAGGCGGCCCAUUAAGUCGGUGGUGAAAGCCCGGGGCUCAACCCCGGAACCGCCAUUGAUGCUGGUGGGCUUGAGUAUGGACGAGGUUGGCGGAAUUGAGGGUGUAGCGGUGAAAUGCUUAGAUACCCUCAAGAACACCGAUUGCGUAGGCAGCUAACUAGGCCAUAACUGACGCUGAGGCACGAAAGCGUGGGGAGCGAACAGG